rnacentral:rRNA from 1 species
UAAUAUAUUUAUACCAAAUUUCCAGUGCCCAGCAUCUUGGAAGCUAAGCAGGGUCGGGCCUGGUUAGUACUUGGAUGGGAGAGUGCCUGGGAAUCCUGGGUGCUCUAGGCU